rnacentral:rRNA from 1 species
GACGUAGGGUGCAAGCGUUGUCCGGAUUUACUGGGCGUAAAGGGCGCGUAGGCGGUCUGUUAAGUGUAGAGUGAAAUCUCCAGGGCUCAACCCGGAAACUACUCUGCAUACUGGCAGACUUGAGGGACGAAGAGGUAUGUGGAAUUCCUGGUGUAGCGGUGAAAUGCGUUGAUAUCAGGAGGAACACCCAUGGCGAAGGCAGCAUACUGGUCGUUUCCUGACGCUGAGGCGCGAAAGCGUGGGUAGCAAACAGG